rnacentral:lncRNA from 1 species
GUUGUGGUGUUUAUAUUCUGUGCUGUAAUGUAUUUUGUAACCUGUGCAAAUAUCAGAAAAGCAAAAAAUAAUAAUUCCUAAUACUCAUAGUAGUGGCGCACCAUCUAAAAGUGCGCCACUAGUAACCCACAUCAGUGUCGCACUUCUGGGCCUAGUAAUGGCGCACCAGGUGGUGCGCCAGUGUCAUGUAGAUUAACAGUGG